AAAAAGACAGACAGACAGACAGACAGACAGAUAGAUGACACAACAGGCAGGGCAUGGUGGCUCAUGCCUGUAAUUCUAGCUACUUAGGAGGCUGAAGAGGGAGGAUCAGUUGAGCCCAGGAGUUUAAGGCUACAGGGAGCCAUGAUCAUGCCACUGCACUCCAGUCUGGACAACAGAGCGAGAUCUCAUCUCUAAAUAUAUAUAUUUUGAAUGACUAUUAAUGAAUAUCACAAUGCAUAUGGGUAUAGCAACUGUGCUUUACACAGAUCUCAUUUAAUCACCCCAGCAGCCCCAGGUAGAGGUGCUGCUCUUUCAUAGAUGAGGAGCCCAAGGCUCAGAGGAGUUGAAUCCCUUGCACAAGGAUGCCAGGCUAGUGACUGGCAGAAGCAGGACUUAGGCCUGGCAAUGGGACUUGGUGUGUGCUCAGUGGAGGCUCAGAGAGGUUGUGAAAUUUGGCGAAGGUCACACAGCCAGUCUAUGUGAGAAGAAAGGGAUUGGACCCUUAGCUGUCUGACUCCAAUCACCUGCUGUGCCCUCAGCUUUUUCUGGUGUGCAGAUAGAGGGUGGGACUGGCAUUGCUUGGGACAGUCCCUAACCUGGGACACCUUCGAUGAUAUCACACUUGCACACCUCCGCAGGGCACCCGGUGGAGAGGAUGAGUGAAACAGCCUGUGGGCGGCAGAACCUGGAAGAACAGA
rnacentral:lncRNA from 1 species